rnacentral:rRNA from 1 species
CCUACGGGAGGCAGCAGUGAGGAAUAUUGGUCAAUGGGCGCGAGCCUGAACCAGCCAAGUCGCGUGAGGGAAGACGGUCCUAUGGAUUGUAAACCUCUUUUGUCGGGGAGCAAAAGACGCCACGCGUGGCGUUCCGAGAGUACCCGAAGAAAAAGCAUCGGCUAACUCCGUGCCAGCAGCCGCGGUAAUACGGAGGAUGCGAGCGUUAUCCGGAUUUAUUGGGUUUAAGGGGUGCGCAGGCGGAAGAGCAAGUCAGCGGUAAAAAUGAGAGGCUCAACCUCUUCGAGCCGUUGAAACUGGUUUUCUGGAGUGAGUGAGAAGUAUGCGGAAUGCGUGGUGUAGCGGUGAAAUGCAUAGAUAUCACGCAGAACUCCGAUUGCGAAGGCAGCAUACCGGCGCUCAACUGACGCUCAUGCACGAAAGUGUGGGUAUCGAACAGGAUUAGAUACCCGUGUAGUC